rnacentral:rRNA from 1 species
GAUGAACGCUGGCGGCGUGCCUAAUACAUGCAAGUCGAGCGAACAGACGAGGAGCUUGCUCCUCUGACGUUAGCGGCGGACGGGUGAGUAACACGUGGAUAACCUACCUAUGAGACUGGGAUAACUUCGGGAAACCGGAGCUAAUACCGGAUAAUAUAUUGAACCGCAUGGUUCAAUAGUGAAAGACGGUUUUGCUGUCACUUAUAGAUGGAUCCGCGCCGCAUUAGCUAGUUGGUAAGGUAACGGCUUACCAAGGCAACGAUGCGUAGCCGACCUGAGAGGGUGAUCGGCCACACUGGAACUGAGACACGGUCCAGACUCCUACGGGAGGCAGCAGUAGGGAAUCUUCCGCAAUGGGCGAAAGCCGGACGGAGCAACGCCGCGUGAGUGAUGAAGGUCUUCGGAUCGUAAAACUCUGUUAGUAGGGAAGAACAAAUGUGUAAGUAACUAUGCACGUCUUGACGGUACCUAAUCAGAAAGCCACGGCUAACUACGUG